GACGAACGCUGGCGGCGUGCCUAAUACAUGCAAGUUGAGCGCUGAAGGUUGGUACUUGUACCGACUGGAUGAGCGGCGAACGGGUGAGUAACGCGUGGGGAAUCUGCCUUUGAGCGGGGGACAACAUUUGGAAACGAAUGCUAAUACCGCAUAAAAACUUUAAACACAAGUUUUAAGUUUGAAAGAUGCAAUUGCAUCACUCAAAGAUGAUCCCGCGUUGUAUUAGCUAGUUGGUGAGGUAAAGGCUCACCAAGGCGAUGAUACAUAGCCGACCUGAGAGGGUGAUCGGCCACAUUGGGACUGAGACACGGCCCAAACUCCUACGGGAGGCAGCAGUAGGGAAUCUUCGGCAAUGGACGAAAGUCUGACCGAGCAACGCCGCGUGAGUGAAGAAGGUUUUCGGAUCGUAAAACUCUGUUGGUAGAGAAGAACGUUGGUGAGAGUGGAAAGCUCAUCAAGUGACGGUAACUACCCAGAAAGGGACGGCUAACUACGUG
rnacentral:rRNA from 1 species